rnacentral:rRNA from 1 species
CCUACGGGGGGCAGCAGUGGGGAAUAUUGGACAAUGGGGGGAACCCUGAUCCAGCCAUGCCGCGUGUGUGAAGAAGGCCCUCGGGUUGUAAAGCACUUUCAGUGAGGAAGAACGCCUGGUGGUUAAUACCCAUCAGGAAAGACAUCACUCACAGAAGAAGCACCGGCUAACUCCGUGCCAGCAGCCGCGGUAAUACGGAGGGUGCGAGCGUUAAUCGGAAUUACUGGGCGUAAAGCGCGCGUAGGUGGCUCGAUAAGCCGGUUGUGAAAGCCCCGGGCUCAACCUGGGAACGGCAUCCGGAACUGUCAAGCUAGAGUGCAGGAGAGGAAGGUAGAAUUCCCGGUGUAGCGGUGAAAUGCGUAGAGAUCGGGAGGAAUACCAGUGGCGAAGGCGGCCUUCUGGACUGACACUGACACUGAGGUGCGAAAGCGUGGGUAGCAAACAGGAUUAGAUACCCCAGUAGUC